CCUACGGGAGGCAGCAGUGAGGAAUAUUGGUCAAUGGACGAGAGUCUGAACCAGCCAAGUAGCGUGAAGGAUGACUGCCCUAUGGGUUGUAAACUUCCUUUAUAUGGGAAUAAAAUGUUCCACGUGUGGGCUUUUGUAUGUACCAUAUGAAUAAGGAUCGGCUAACUCCGUGCCAGCAGCCGCGGUAAUACGGAGGAUCCGAGCGUUAUCCGGAUUUUUUGGGUUUAAAGGGGGCGUAGGUGGGUUGUUAAGUCAGUUGUGAAAGUUUGCGGCUCAAACGUAAAAUUGCAGUUGAAACUGGCGGUCUUGAGUACGGUAGAGGUGGGCGGAAUUCGUGGUGUAGCGGUGAAAUGCUUAGAUAUCACGAAGAACUCCGAUUGCGAAGGCAGUUCACUGGACUGCAACUGACACUGAGGCUCGAAAGUGUGGGUAUCGAACAGGAUUAGAUACCCGGGUAGUC
rnacentral:rRNA from 1 species